rnacentral:rRNA from 1 species
UACGGAGGGUGCGAGCGUUGUCCGGAAUCACUGGGCGUAAAGGGCGCGUAGGUGGCGCGGGCAGUCAACGGUGAAAGUUCGGGGCUCAACCCUGAAUCGGCCGUCGAUACUCCCGGGCUGGAGCACUGUAGAGGCUAAUGGAAUUCCGGGUGUAGCGGUGGAAUGCGUGAGAGAUCCGGAAGAAUACCGGUGGCGAAGGCGGUUAGCUGGGCAGUUGCUGACACUGAGGCGCGACAGCGUGGGGAGCAAACAGG